CUAAUGUGUAGAGCCAUGAAAAUGUUCAACAUGAGCAUAGGAACAAGAGGGAGGAAGACUCCUUUGUGGGAAACGAUCAAUGCUCCACAACAACCUGAUGGAGCACAAUGUGGAUUCUAUGUUAUGCGAUUCAUGAGAGAUGUCUUUGACAAUCUUGUAUCCGAUCACUCUCUCCCAUUAGCUACGUUGUUCACAGGAGGAUGUUAUUCCAAAAAAGAGAUUGAUGAAAUGAGGAUAGAGUGGGCAGAGUUUCUAAGUUCGAUUGAUGAUUGAUGAUGAUGGUGUAACUUUGACACUCAAGUAACCUCAUUUUUGACUUACAUGUAUUAUGAUCAACAAUAUUUUUUUGGAUUUGAUGUAGGAUGUUUGUAUGAUGGAUACUUUUUCAAUGUAGGAUGAUAAUUAACUUUGAAACUAAUGAAUGACCUUUUUAUUA